AUGCACCAUAAAAGGUCUCUUGGACAAAGAUGGAGAGAUAUCAUCAGUCAGUUGCUUGCCUCCUCCACAUCGCGCAUUCUGCUUAAUGGUUGCCCUGGGCUAGUGUUUACUCACAACAAGGGAUUGCGACAGGGAGAUCCUUUGUCUCUGAUGCUUUUUAUCCUGGCUAUGGACCCCCUGAUACGGAUAUUGGAUGACGCUACAGGGAGGGGCCUGCUACACCCAAUUCCUCAGAAUACUGUUAGAAUGAAAGCAAGCCUUUAUGCAGACGAUGCUGCAAUUUUUGCUUCUCCUGACCCUUUGCAGACUGAGAUCAUACUCAGGGUCCUUGAUGUCUUUGGUAGCAUAUCUGGCCUAUGUAUCAACCCUACAAAAUGUGUCUUAUACCCAAUCCGCUGCCACCAAGAUGAGCUGCAUGGCCUCCUUGAGGAUUUUGAGGGCUCGGUUGGCUCCUUCCCUUGCAAAUACUUACGGUUGCCCCUCUCAUUUAGGCAUCUCAGGAGGAUUGAUCUGCAGCCUCUGCUUGACAAGAGUGCGGGUAAAUUGAGCAUUUGUAAAGGCAAGCUCAUGAACCGGACUGGCCGUCUUGACCUCAUCAACUCAGUCCGCACGGCUACGAUCCCUUCUUCCUUACCUGUUUUGCCCCCAAUGCCUGGUUCACUAAGAAAUUUGACAAGAUGA
rnacentral:rRNA from 1 species